UAAUACGUAGGGUGCGAGCGUUAAUCGGAAUUACUGGGCGUAAAGCGUGCGCAGGCGGUUCUGCAAGUCAGAUGUGAAAUCCCCGGGCUCAACCUGGGAACUGCGUUUGAAACUACAGAGCUAGAGUACGGGAGAGGGAGGUAGAAUUCCACGUGUAGCAGUGAAAUGCGUAGAGAUGUGGAGGAAUACCAAUGGCGAAGGCAGCCUCCUGGCCUGAUACUGACGCUCAUGCACGAAAGCGUGGGGAGCAAACAGGAUUAGAUACCCUGGUAGUCCACGCCCUAAACGAUGUCAACUAGUUGUUGGUGGAGUAAAAUCCAUUAGUAACGCAGCUAACGCGUGAAGUUGACCGCCUGGGGAGUACGGUCGCAAGAUUA
rnacentral:rRNA from 1 species